GCCUGCCUUGGCAUUUCAGCAUUCUCGGCAUGCUGUAGGGAUAAUAAUGAAUUUUUUUUAUUGCCAAAAUUGCCCUCAUAGAUUUAUCUAAUUUCCACUUUAACCCUUCUUUUGUUAGAAACCCUAGAAGCAGUGGUCACGCUAACCCCUUAAGCUCCGCUCGCUUCGCCUCUCUCUCUCUCUCGUUGCUCUCUGUUCACCGUUUUCUUCUCUCGUGAUCGCCUCUUGGUGGCCUCUCUCUUCGCUUAGAACCAAGUCGUUUGCCUUGCCAUGCUCGCCUUUGUCUUCGCUCGGAACCCAGUUGCUCAUCUCACCUCGAAUCCAGAACCAAGUCGCUCGCCUCGCCGUGCUCGCCUUUGUCUUCGCUCGUCACCCAAUUGCUCGUCUCACCUCCAAUCCAGGAUAGGGAAAACGGAGAUCUAUUGGUUGAAGUUUUAAGCAUGAAAAUUGUCGGUUGAAAGUGUGAGCGAAUGAUGGAAGGAGAGAAAGAGGACAUAAGAUGCUCAGGCAAAUCCAAUAGAGAGGGUGGCCUCUAUGAAAGACUAUAAUUGUCAUCUAAAAAUGGUAGCAUAAAUCCACAAAAUACCAUUAUCCUAAAAUAAACAAGCUACUCCAUGAAACUUGUGUAUGAAUGGCGUGAUUGAUU